UGGUCAAGUUAUUAAGGGUGCAGGGCGGAUGCCUUGGCACUAGGAGCCGAUGAAGGACGUGAUAAGCUGCGAUAAGCUUCGGGGAGUUGCACGUAAACUUUGAUCCGAAGAUUUCCGAAUGAGGAAACUCACUUAGAGUAAUGUCUAAGUAUCAUUAAGUGAAUACAUAGCUUAAUGAGGGGAACUCAGGGAACUGAAACAUCUAAGUACCUGAAGGAAGAGAAAGAAAUUCGAUUCCGUAAGUAGCGGCGAGCGAACGCGGAUUAGCCCAAACCAAUAAAGUUUUCUUUAUUGGGGUUGCGGACAUAUCAUAACGAAGAGGUAUCGUAAUUGAAGAGGUUUGGAAAGACCCACCACAGAAGGUAAUAGUCCUGUAUGUUAAACGAGAAGACUUUAGAUAUGAUCCAGAGUACCACGGGACACGUGAAACCCUGUGGGAAGCAGGAGGGACCACCCUCCAAGGCUAAAUACUACCUAGUGACCGAUAGCGUAUAGUACCGUGAGGGAAAGGUGAAAAGAACCCCGGGAGGGGAGUGAAAUAGAACCUGAAACCCUGCACUUACAAGCUGUGGAAGCACAUUUCUUGUGUGACCGCGUACUUUUUGUAGAACGGGCCAACGAGUUACGUUAAGUAGCAAGGUUAAGCACUUAAGGUGCGGAGCCGUAGCGAAAGCGAGUUUUAACUGAGCGUUCAGUUACUUGACGUAGACCCGAAACCGGGCGACCUACCCAUGAGCAGGAUGAAGCGAAAGUAAAAUUUCGUGGAGGUCCGAACCCACGAGCGUUGAAAAGCUCGGGGAUGACUUGUGGGUAGCGGUGAAAUUCCAAUCGAGCCCGGAGAUAGCUGGUUCUCCCCGAAAUAGCUUUAGGGCUAGCCUCAAGGUGAGAGAUACGGAGGUAGAGCACUGAAUGUCCUAGGGGGUAUUGCACCUACCGAAGACUAUCAAACUCCGAAUGCCGUCAUCUUAUACUUGGGAGUCAGACUGUGGGUGAUAAGAUUCAUAGUCGAAAGGGCAACAGCCCAGAUCGUCAGCUAAGGUCCCUAAAUGUAAGUUAAGUGGUAAAGGAUGUGGGAUUGCACAGACAACCAGGAUGUUGGCUUAGAAGCAGCCACUCAUUCAAAGAGUGCGUAAUAGCUCACUGGUCGAGUGAUCCUGCGCCGAAGAUUUCCGGGGCUAAAACUUACUACCGAAGCUACGGCAUCAGUAAUGAUGGGUAGGGGAGCUUCCCAUACGGGUUGAAGCAUGACCGUAAGGACAUGUGGACAGUAUGGGAGUGAGAAUGUUGGCAUGAGUAGCGAGAUGUGGGUGAGAAUCCCACAGGCCGUAAACCCAAGGUUUCCAGGGGAAGGUUCGUCCGCCCUGGGUUAGUCGGGACCUAAGCUGAGGCCGAAAGGCGUAGGUGAUGGACAACAGGUUGAUAUUCCUGUACUACCGAUAACCGUUUGAGAGAAGGGAUGACACAGUAGGAUAAGCUAAGCACACUGUUGGUUAUGUGUGCCCAAGCAUUGAGGCAGUCAAAGUAGGCAAAUCCGCUUUGAUAAUGCUGGGAUGUGAUGGGGAGCGAAAUUUAGUAGCGAAGUAGCUGAUUUCACACUGUCAAGAAAAGUCUCUAUCGAGGUUAAAGGUACCCGUACCGCAAACCGACACAGGUGGGUGAGGAGAGUAUCCUAAGGCCAGCGAGAGAACUGUUGUUAAGGAACUCGGCAAAAUGACCCCGUAACUUAGGGAUAAGGGGUGCCACCAUCAGGUGGCCGCAGAGAAUAGGCCCAAGCGACUGUUUACCAAAAACAUAGGUUUCUGCUAAGUCGCAAGACGAUGUAUAGGAGCUGACGCCUGCCCGGUGCUGGAAGGUUAAGGGGAUCUGUUAGAGCAAUCGAAGCAGUGAACUUAAGCCCCAGUAAACGGCGGCCGUAACUAUAACGGUCCUAAGGUAGCGAAAUUCCUUGUCGGGUAAGUUCCGACCCGCACGAAAGGCGUAACGAUUUGGGCACUGUCUCAACAACAGACUCGGUGAAAUUGUAAUUCCGGUGAAGAUGCCGGAUACCUGCGACAGGACGGAAAGACCCCAUGGAGCUUUACUGUAGCUUGACAUUGGGUCUUGGUACUACAUGUACAGGAUAGGUGGGAGGCUUUGAAACCAGGACGCCAGUUUUGGCGGAGCCAUCCUUGGGAUACCACCCUUGUAGUACUGGGACUCUAACCAUAGGCCAUGAAUCUGGUCUUGGGACACUGUCAGGUGGGCAGUUUGACUGGGGCGGUCGCCUCCCAAAAGGUAACGGAGGCGCUCAAAGGUUCUCUCAGUACGGUCGGAAAUCGUACGUAGAGUGUAAAGGCAAAAGAGAGCUUGAUUGCAAGACAUACAGGUCGAGCAAGGAUGAAAAUCGGACUUAGUGAUCCGGUGGUUCUGCGUGGAAGGGCCAUCGCUCAACGGAUAAAAGCUACCCUGGGGAUAACAGGCUUAUCUCCCCCAAGAGUCCACAUCGACGGGGAGGUUUGGCACCUCGAUGUCGGCUCAUCACAUCCUGGGGCUGUAGUAGGUCCCAAGGGUUGGGCUGUUCGCCCAUUAAAGUGGUACGCGAGCUGGGUUCAGAACGUCGUGAGACAGUUCGGUCCCUAUCCGUCGCAGGCGUAGGAAAUUUGAGAAGACCUGUCCUUAGUACGAGAGGACCGGGAUGGACGUACCUCUGGUGUACCAGUUGUUCUGCCAAGGGCAUGGCUGGGUAGCUAUGUAUGGAAUGGAUAAGCGCUGAAAGCAUCUAAGCGCGAAGCCAACUUCAAGAUAAGAUUUCCCACCGCAAGGGUAAGACCCCAGAAAGACUAUCUGGUUGAUAGGUCGAAGGUGUAAGUGCAGCAAUGUAUUUAGCUUAUCGAUACUAAUAGGUCGAGGACUUGACCAAU
rnacentral:rRNA from 1 species